UGAGGAAUAUUGGUCAAUGGGCGAGAGCCUGAACCAGCCAAGUAGCGUGAAGGAUGACUGCCCUAUGGGUUGUAAACUUCUUUUAUAAAGGAAUAAAGUCGGGUAUGGAUACCCGUUUGCAUGUACUUUAUGAAUAAGGAUCGGCUAACUCCGUGCC
rnacentral:rRNA from 1 species